rnacentral:rRNA from 1 species
UACGGAGGGUGCAAGCGUUAAUCGGAAUUACUGGGCGUAAAGCGCCCGCAGGCGGUCUGUUAAGUCAGAUGUGAAAUCCCCGGGCUCAACCUGGGAACUGCAUUGAAACUGGCAAGCUUGAGUCUUGUAGAGGGGGGUAGAAUUCCAGGUGUAGCGGUGAAAUGCGUAGAGAUCUGGAGGAAUACCGGUGGCGAAGGCGGCCCCCUGGACAAAGACUGACGCUCAGGUGCGAAGCGUGGGGAGCAAACAGGAUUAGAUACCCUGGUAGUCCACGCUGUAAACGAUGUCGAUCUU